GACGAACGCUGGCGGCAGGCUUAACACAUGCAAGUCGAACGCCCCGCAAGGGGAGUGGCAGACGGGUGAGUAACGCGUGGGAAUCUACCCAGUUCUACGGAACAACUGAGGGAAACUUCAGCUAAUACCGUAUACGCCCUACGGGGGAAAGAUUUAUCGGAAUUGGAUGAGCCCGCGUUGGAUUAGCUAGUUGGUGGGGUAAAGGCCUACCAAGGCGACGAUCCAUAGCUGGUCUGAGAGGAUGAUCAGCCACACUGGGACUGAGACACGGCCCAGACUCCUACGGGAGGCAGCAGUGGGGAAUAUUGGACAAUGGGCGCAAGCCUGAUCCAGCCAUGCCGCGUGAGUGAUGAAGGCCUUAGGGUUGUAAAGCUCUUUCAGUGGGGACGAUAAUGACGGUACCCACAGAAGAAGCCCCGGCUAACUUCGUGCCAGCCGCCGCAGUAACAC
rnacentral:rRNA from 1 species